rnacentral:rRNA from 1 species
UCUCAGUUCGGAUCGGAGUCUGCAACCCGACUCCGUGAAGCUGGAUUCGCUAGUAAUCGCGCAUCAGCCAUGGCGCGGUGAAUACGUUCCCGGGCCUUGUACACACCGCCCGUCAAGCCAUGGGAGCCGGGAGUGCCUGAAGGCCGUGACCGCAAGGAGCGGCCUAAGGUAAAACUGGUGACUGGGGCUAAGUCGUAACAAGGUACC